AAAUGCCCUGAAGAAGUGAGUCAGUAAAAUAUUUACCAAAACUUCUCUAAAUACCAACCAUCUCAUGAUGCCUGCCUAGAGUAUCUACUUUCCCACCUCCAAGAUUUUCCCCCAACAUAAAAUCUGAGAAGAUAUGAAAAGAUGCUGCCAAGAUACUACUCUUCAAUGCUGGUCCCAGAGGAAAAUUCACAAUCAGACAUCAGAGUGACCACAGAGGAUGAAUGCAACAGCUUAUUGGAAAUGGAAUGUGAAAUAUCUUUAGAGAGACAGCUUCUGUGUACUCAAACCAGGGCUAUUACAUCUUGGAUUUAAGGUCCUGUGUUAUGUGGAGCUUAAUGUUAUCAUUAAAUAAAGAUGAUACCAGAACUGCAGAGGUAACAACUCUUCUGAAAGGCUGAGUCAACAGGAAAAAGAACAGUCAGCAGUGAAUAAGAGAAAUCUGGGAUGCCUUCACUUCUGAUAUCCAGUAAGGAAGAGGAAACAGCACAGGCCCUUCAGUGACCUUACUGUUGGCUGAUUCCAGAGAGCCACCUCAUUAUUCCGACUUGAAACUUCUCCAUCUCAAAAAUCAGAGGUUUUGGAAAUCUAAAGUCAGUAGGCAAAUGCCAAUCUCUAUGGGUGCAUUUCACUAGUGAUGGCUACAGAGUGAAGACUGAGGAAGAAUGCACAUCACAGUCCUGCUCUGACAACAUAGGCCCAGGGAAAUGAAAAAGAGCAAUUUUUCCAUUAUUGUAAACUGCAAAAAGUGUUUCCCAGUGAAAACCACAAUUUCACUUUGGUUUGAUGAGCAUGCUGUGAUGCCAUUGUGCUCUCAUGAACUUUCAGCUAUGAAUCCGUAUGGGAAUAAUUUCAUUGUGAGAAGGUGGCUUCCAUUCUAUCCUGAAAAAAAGCUGCAUGCAAAUCACAGAAAGCUACAGAAGAAAGUACCAGUCAUUGUUUGAAAGCAUUGUGGCCUAUGGAGAUGGAAAACAGAACAUGAAUUUGCCUCCAAAUUUUAUAAGCUUCUAGAAACAUGAAUGAAUGAGAAACAAAUGCAAAAAUUCGCUUAAAAAUAAAAUCUCAAAACCUUGUUGCUUUUACAAUGAACAGACCUGGCAAAAAGGGUUAAUUAUCUUGAGUAUCAGUGUAAAAACAGGUAGUGCUCUUCCAGGUAUUUUUUGGUUGCCAGCUAGAUUAGUGUUAGUUGCUAACAGUGAAGUUAUCAGCCAUUGGAACAAAUGAUGAAGAGGAGCAGUGAGUUUACCAUUUCUUGAAGUCUGCAAACUGAGAGGGGUUGGUAUGCCUCAGCACACAAUGGAUACACAGCUGGGUGAAAUUAUAUUGUUGUGCUACAGAGAAGUACAUGAAAUAUUCUAUGUUGUCCUUUCUAGCUUUAAGAGCCAUAGUCUAUAAUUUCAGAAAGAUAUUACAAAGAACUCUAAUAAGUAGUGAUAACCACAGCACUAAUCUGAAUGCAUCUUCUGAUUUUGGGUUGAUUAUGCCAAAGUAUUAAAAAAAUUACAGAUUUUAAUUUUAAUAAUUAAUUGUUUCUAUGUGUUUCUGUCACAAAACCUCGUAUUACUAGCAUUAUUUUGCAAUAUUGGAAAUUUGGUUUUGAGGACUAAAGAGACCCUUCCUCUUGCCAGAAGAGCAGAAUGUACUUUAGUUCAUGAAAGUGUGUAUAAACAUGUAAGCAUGCAGGCUACUGUUUCCUGACCUGAUCUAUUGCAGUCAAUAAAAUCAAUAAACUAGACUCAUUCAGUGAAAUAAAAGACAUCUCAUGAAGAAAA